rnacentral:rRNA from 1 species
ACGAACGCUGGCGGCGUGCUUAACACCUGCCAGUCGAACGGAAAGGCCCCUUUGGGGGUACUCGAGUGGCGAACGGGUGAGUAACACGUGAGUAACCUGCCCUUGACUUCGGGAUAACUUCAGGAAACUGGGGCUAAUACCGGAUAGGAAUCCUUGCUGCAUGGUGGGGGUUGGAAAGCUUCGGCGGUUUUGGAUGGACUCGCGGCUUAUCAGCUUGUUGGUGGGGUAGUGGCUUACCAAGGCUUUGACGGGUAGCCGGCCUGAGAGGGCGACCGGCCACAUUGGGACUGAGAUACGGCCCAGACUCCGACGGGAGGCAGCAGUGGGGAAUAUUGCACAAUGGGCGGAAGCCUGAUGCAGCAACGCCGCGUGCGGGAUGACGGCCUUCGGGUUGUAAACCGCUUUCAGCAGGGGCGAAGCUUGUGGUGACGGUACCUGCAGAAGAAGCACCGGCUAACUACGUG